rnacentral:lncRNA from 1 species
GUUCUUUGAGACAGGGUCUUGCUCUGUCACCAGGCUGGACUGUAGUGGCAUAAUCAUGCCUUGCCGCAGCCUUGACCUCCCAGGCUCAAACUUCAGCAUUCCGAGUAGCUGGGACUACAGGUGUGCACCACCACUCCCAGCUAACUUUUUUCUUUUUUUUGGAUAGAGACAGGGUCUCACUGUGUUGUCCAGACCGUCUCUAGCUCCUGGCCUUAAGCAAUCCUCCUGCAUUAGCUUCUCAAAUUGCUGGAAUUUCAGGCAUGAGCCACCAUGCCUGGCCUGGGCUAGUCCUGUAUUCUCUAGAGUUCUCUUUACUUUGUGCUAGCCAAUCUCUCAUUAUGCUGUUCACCUGUUAUAAUGAAUAAUUCUCCGUAUUAAAUUUUACCACUUUAAACUUUUGAGUGGUUUAUGCUUCCUGAUUGGACUCUGACUAAUAUGUUAGGAAGGGUCCCAGGAGAUAAACCCACACAGAUGGGAUUUGGGCAUAGGUUUGGUUUCCCAGGGGGCAGUGCUGAGCUCUUUGCCAGUGGGAAAUGGGAUGCUGGUGAUUUCCAGGAAGCGACCUCACAAUGACUCAAGCUACCACUUACUGUUGAUUGUGACGAAAUGCCAGCUGAGGCACAUGCCUUGGGAGCUAAGUGGUUGCUGCCCUUGACCACUAUGAAGACUGGUGUGGGAAGGGUCGCUUUGGAUGCACUUGAGCAGGGGUCCCCAACCCCUGAGCCAUGGAGCUGUAAGGAGCCACACGGCAGGAGGUGGGACCAUCCAGUUGCAGGAAAACAAGCUUAACAUGCCCACUGA